AUCCCCUCUUCCUUCUCUCGCCUCCCAUGGCGCCGCCGCUCCUGCCUCCUCACCUCCCGUGGCCCGCCCUCCCGGUCGUGUCUCUUCUCUCCAUCGCCAGUCGCGGAAGCUGCUGCGCUCCUCUUCCUCCCUAGCCGCAUCGCGCGAGAGACCCGAGGUCACCCGCCUCCGAUCCGACGGGCGAGGCGGCCAGCGGCUGCCUCCCGGUCAAAUCCGGCUGCCCACCGACCGACUCGAGCUGGCGGUGUUGUUCCCGGCGGAGCACGCCGUCGCGCCGUUGAUGUGGGGAUGCCAUAGGGGAGCACGCCGUCGCCAUCGGCUGCGUCCUGGGCGACUCCGACGCGCCCUGCCACGAGCUUCGUCUCCUCUGUCGCUGCCGUGAGCUUCUCCGCCGCUACCUCAUCUCCUCCAGCACCCUCUCUUGCUCGUGUAUCUGGACGAGAGGCAACCUACUGAGAGGAACAUGUCGACCUUGGUGACAUCUAGGAUGAGGCACGUCCAUGAAAUCGAUGGUGAGGCAGCCGGCCGUCAGGGGUGCGUUAGCUUGGGUGAUCCCCUAGCGAAGCUGCAGCGACCACACAAGGUGCAUGUAGCCGGCAUCAUGACACUCUUGGGGCACACUGGAGCCUGGUGAUUAUGUGCGUUCCUGCAAAAAAGAGUAAUUCAGGACCAAUCUUACUUCAUCUGGACUCCUUAGGGAUGCAUCCUACUAGAGGAAUUGAUGACGGCGGUGGUCAUUUUCCAGAUUCAGCAGUGCAUACUUGGAACAGGUAAUAAAAAGGGAAUCACUUAAUUUUAUUUGUAUUUGCACCAAUAAUCAUGCUUAGCAUAUUAGAACAAUUUACUUUGAGAACAAAUGGCUGGAAGAACGAUGCGAUUUGAUACCCUGUUAUGUUGGUGUCGAGAGAAAAUUUGGUGUUUCGUUUUUCUUAUAUGUACAAUUAUCUGCCGUGAAUCUUGUGCUUUCAAUCAAUGUGUUUAUUUUGGCUAAAUUCCGAGCCUUUUCUGGAUCUGAGCAAACGAUCCUGCAACGACAGCAAGAGGCAGCCCACAUGAAUCUAUUGAGGUGCACCUUUAUCUUGACCAUGCCUCUGGUUUUUAGUUAGACACCAUGUUUGCAGAUUCAAGUUCCAAAAUCAGGGUACUGUUUUUUAUUUCUUGCUUAAUUUUGUUUGGUAGUUCCCUUUGUGUUCGGUAGUGGGACAUGUGUUGGUCUACACAGGUAUUUCUUUUGUCUGUCAAAUGCUACCAAACAAACCAGUGCCAUGGUGGCUAGGAUGGGUCCUCUUAGAUGUCCAUUCGGAUUACAAAUUGUGGAGGGACCGGUCAACAUUUUUAGUAUUUUACUACAUGGCUGCUAAGUAUACAUAGAUUUAGGAAAACUACCUGCGGUAAUUCCUGCUCCGGCAUGCGUUUCUCUUAAUUCUUGAAUUAUGAAUUCAGACCAAGAUUUAUGAAUUCUAAUUAUUAGUUUGAUUUACAUUUUUGUUUUCAUUAUUGUGCCUUCUAUCCAAGGUGAUCAUAUGAAAUCUUUAAAUAACUUAUUAUCCAGUGGUUCCUCUGCCUGCUCAAUGGAAACAAUAUCGUGAGACAUAAUAGGGAGUAUGUUAGACAAAUACGCAUCUUUGUAGUGAAAUGCCAUGCUCUCAAGUAUCUUGCAGUGCCAACAUAUAGUUAAGAUGUAUUAGUAUCUUUGAAUGUUCCAACAAGUAGCCCGACUACACAUACUUGUAGUAAUUUUAAGCUUCAAUUUAUUAUUUUUGUGGUUUCAAGCUAGGAUUAGCACUUCCUGAUGUUAUUUUUGGCUUUGGAUUGUAAGUAAACUCUUUUUAGAUGAGCAUCCUUUUCCACCGACAAAUAAUAGCCAAUCAAUAUUUCCUUGAUAUAUUUUGCAUUACCGAUAUACUUUACAUGUAGAGAUUAUCAACAUUUGUAUGAGACCAAUAAUAGUUGUCGAAAUUUUGUAGUUGUGUGCUAUUGCCUGCAAGAUACUGGAUUCUUAUAGAGUCAAUUAACUGGGAGAAUGAUAACUACAAAAGGCGUUGCUAAUCUUGACACGACGAAACACAUUCUCUGUUAUGUCCAUGAUGUUUCACUCCUACCUUACUCCGCUGAAUUACUCUACCUAUAAAAGGGGGACAGAGUGAACCUGCUGACAUAUCUUAAUUGUUAUGCUGUGAUUGAAUUGUCGUUCCUCGGUACCGUGAGAACAUGGAGAUGUGCAGGCUCAUGGAGCAGGUUGUGUUCUCGGAUCCAUACAUGGCCUCUAAAUACACUUGCUGGGAUUCGCCUCUUCUUGACGCUGAAGCGGUUCGAGAGGAUGAUGGUUUUGGAACGUCCGAGUUGUUGCCGUUUAUGUGAUGGAUCUGUUGUUGCAUUCGUUGAUCUGUUGGUCCGCUAUUUGCAGGUGCUCGUUGGUCUGCCGGUCAUUUGAUUUGUGCCAGCUUGCUACUCCUCGUCCACCACCUUGCAGGUCGACCUCUUUUCUUUUCCCCUUCUCUGCUUUUAGGCUAGGCUUGAAUUUUUGCAGCCAUGUAUUUUCCUUAGCUUGCCUGUGUAGAGCUGCUAUUAGAUUGAGUUUAUUUUUGUCUCGUUUCUGUUGGUGUGCAUGCUGGUGAAUGGGUGUGUUUGUUUUUCCUUAGCUUGCCUGUGUAGACCUUAUGUUUAUUGAUUUGCUCUUUGUGUGUUUGCCAAUGGUGGAAGUGGCGGAGAAGUGGAACCAGAAGUGGAGGUCAACAUAUUACAGGUGAUGCCUGCGUGUAAUAUGUUGACCUCCACUUCUGGUUCCACUUCUCCGCCGCUGCCCCACCGUCCAGGUCCAGCCCCACUCCCCCGUCACUCCUCCUACGUCCUCUGCAGGAGAAGAAUGUGUUAUGUUGGGCUCGGACUAUGUUGACAGCCAUCUUGGCCAGCAAGAGGAUGCUCACCUGCUUCGUCUUCCUCACCAGUCGGCUCUUAUUAACCAAUGAUGAUGUAUCUUCAAGGGCAGACUGUGAACAAGUACUACAAAGAGGAUAUCUCUAAAUCAAGUCGCACGCCCACUAGAGAAAACCACAGGUUGGUUUGCACAAGGUGCUGUAGUUUUCAAGAUAUAUCAUGUGCUCAAAUGUUUGAACCAAAGGCUUAUGUUGUGUACCGAAAGAAUCCUGAGAAAUUUUAGAUGGCUCAAGCUCAAGGCAUCACUCAAAACAGAGUAAGAGAAUAAGCUGGGAAUGGUGCAGUGGUAUGAAAUUAAAAAGAAACUGAAUAUAAAGUUGAAGAGGUGGAGCCAAGCAUGUUGGCCUGCAGUCAUGCUCUAGUUUAUUUACAGACAUCAAAAAGGAAGAGGGUGAUUGCUGAACCUGAAGGAGCACCAGCAAAGUCCUUGAAAAACGUGGUUGUGCCGGAGAAAUCAGACAGCACCCUAGUUAUAUUGGUUAUACAACCAGUAACACAAAACGUAGGACCGACUCCAGUAGACUGUACCCAUACUUCAUUGGCCACACCACUAGCCGCACCACACAGGACCUGCACUCCAGCAAAAGGUAUGCUGAUUUCAGUUGCCAUAGCACCAGCCGUACCACAGAAAAAUCCCACUCCAGCAAAAAGUACAGCAAGUCCAUCGGCCGAAGACCUAUCCCAACUACAAAGACGGCCAAUUCCUGCAGAUUGGAACCCCAUUCUAGUUAUUCCCAGUUUAAAAGACAAUGCUUUCAAUGUUGUUAGGGACUACGUGCAUAUAUUCCCAUCAUGGGAAGAUUAUAGUGAAGACAAACACCAUUUUCACAUCUUCCUGUCCCACUUACGUGCGAGGGUCAAUCUGGAUAGUCAUGACGAGCAAAGCUUGCUUAUGCUUUUCAAGGAAGCAUUGCAGCAGUAUUGGUGUUACCUGAGGAAAUCACACUUUGAUGGCAAGUCUCUAAACGAAUUUCUGGUGAAGUCUCCUGUGCUAAAUUUAGAAGACAUUGAAUGGAAAAACCUUGUUAUGCACUGGUCUCGUUCCGAGGAUGAGGAAAUCUGCUCGAAAAAGAAUUCCGGUUUGAAAAGAACGACAGGAUAUCGCAAAUAUGCUGCCCGCUGCUUUGCUCUUAAUAAAGGCAAUGCUUAUGAAGAAAAUUCUGUGGUAAACUUCUUGAAUUGCCCCCCAUCAGCAUGGACAAGGGCUUUAUAGAGCCUGCCUUCACCAAUAAUAGUGAGGAGGAUAUAAGUGUCAAACAAUUGCAGUCUCACCAGCUUGCUCAGCUGCUUGCACUGCAGCUCUCGAGUAGGGCUAACCUUUCUUGAACUCUAUUGAAGUGCUGUCGGUUUGUAUAUUAUUUUUUCGGCGUGUUUAAUUGCACUGGUGCCGAUCUUUGAUGCCCAGUGUAUGUAAUCUGUUGUCUGCUUGUGCUUUAUUAUCAUAGUGGCGAACUUUGAUGCCCAGUGGAUGUAAUAUGCCGUAAUUUCUUUAUUGUAUAGUCUAGGUUUUUUCUUAUUCACGAUGCUGCAGUUAUUUUACUAUAUAUGUAUCCUGUCUUUGCAGUAAACCGGCCAAACCGUAAAAUUACGGUACAUAAUCGGGCCGUCAUGCAAAUCACCAUGUAUGAUCCGCAUCAUGGGCCUCGUCAUCUUCGUCCGUUAACAGGCCUAAAUGUAA
rnacentral:rRNA from 1 species